UACGUAGGGUGCGAGCGUUAAUCGGAAUUACUGGGCGUAAAGCGUGCGCAGGCGGCUCUUCAAGUCAGAUGUGAAAGCCCCGGGCUUAACCUGGGAAUGGCGUUUGAAACUGGAGGGCUGGAGUGUGGCAGAGGGAGGUGGAAUUCCACGUGUAGCAGUGAAAUGCGUAGAUAUGUGGUGGAACACCGAUGGCGAAGGCAGCCUCCUGGGCCAACACUGACGCUCAUGCACGAAAGAGUGGGGAGCAAACAGG
rnacentral:rRNA from 1 species